ACCGGGGCUAAGCUAUACACCGAAAUUGCGGAUUUACACUUGAAAGAUAGUGUAAGUGGUAGAGGAGCAUUCUGUAGUAGGGAGAAGCAAAAGCGAGAGCAUUUGUGGACGAGGCAGAAGAGAGAAUGCUGGAAUAAGUAGCGAGAGCAAGGUGAGAAUCCUUGCCGUCGAAAGUCUAAGGUUUCCUGGGGAAGGUUCGUCCGCCCAGGGUAAGUCGGGACCUAAGGUGAGGCUGAAAAGCGUAGCCGAUGGAUAGCAGGUUGAGAUUCCUGCACUAUAGAUAUACUUAAAAGAUGCAAGGGACGCAGGAGUGGAAGAUAAGCGAGGAAGAGGAAAGACUCGUAUCGCAAGAUAUAGUGAAAAUAAAGUAACGAAUUAUCAAGAAGCACACUGACGAGAAAAGCUUGUAGAUAUUGUAUAUAAAUACCCGUACCGCAAACCGACACAGGUAGAUGAGGAGAGGAUCCUAAGACGAGCGGGAGAAGCAUUGUUAAGGAACUCGGCAAAUUGACCCCGUAACUUAGGGAGAAGGGGUGCCAAGGUAGAACUUGGCCGCAGUGAAGAGGUUCAAGCAACUGUUUAACAAAAACACAGGUUUCUGCUAAAUCGAAAGAUGAAGUAUAGGAGCUGACGCCUGCCCAGUGCUGGAAGGUCAAAGGGAAGUGUUAGUAAAAACUUACGAAGCACAGAACUCAAGCCCCAGUGAACGGCGGCCGUAACUAUAACGGUCCUAAGGUAGCGAAAUUCCUUGUCAGGUAAGUUCUGACCCGCACGAAAGGCGUAAUGAUUUGAACACUGUCUCGACAAUGUACCCGGCGAAAUUGUAGUACUAGUGAAGAUGCUAGUUACCUGCGACAAGACAGAAAGACCCCAUGGAGCUUUACUGCAGCUUGAUACUGGGUUUUGGUAAUUUAUGUACAGGAUAGGUGGGAUACGAAGAAGCAAGUGCGCCAGCAUUUGUGGAGUAGACGUUGGGAUACCACUCUUAAAUUAUUGAAAUUCUAACCUGUGAUCAUGAAUCUGGUCAGGGGACAAUGUCAGGCGGGCAGUUUGACUGGGGCGGUCGCCUCCUAAAGAGUAACGGAGGCGCCCAAAGGUUUCCUCAGCACGGACAGAAAUCGUGCAAAAGAGUGUAAAGGCAGAAGGAAGCUUAACUGGGAGACUGACAAGUCGAGCAGAUACGAAAGUAGGGCUUAGUGAUCCGGCGGUAGUGAGUGGAAAUGCCGUCGCUCAACGGACAAAAGUUACCCUGGGGAUAACAGGCUUAUCUCCCCCAAGAGUUCACAUCGACGGGGAGGUUUGGCACCUCGAUGUCGGCUCAUCGCAUCCUGGAGCGGAAGUACGUUCCAAGGGUUGGGCUGUUCGCCCAUUAAAGCGGUACGCGAGCUGGGUUCAGAACGUCGUGAGACAGUUCGGUCCUUAUCUGUCGCAGGCGUAGGAUAUUUGAAGGGAGCUGUCCUUAGUACGAGAGGACCAGGAUGGACAUACCGAUGGUGUAUCAGUUGUCACACCAGUGGCACGGCUGAGUAGCUAAGUAUGGAAGGGAUAAACGCUGAAAGCAUCUAAGUGUGAAGUCCACCUUAAGAUAAGAUAUCCCAUUGC
rnacentral:rRNA from 1 species